rnacentral:rRNA from 1 species
CAAUAGCGUAUAUUAAAGUUGUUGCAGUUAAAAAGCUCGUAGUUGGAUUUCUGGUGGGAGCGAUAGGUCUGGCGCUUAGCGCGAGUACUUGCAUCGUCUCCGGCCAUCCUUGGGGAGAGUCUGUCUGGCAUUAAGUUGUCGGGCAGAGGAUCCUCAUCGUUUACUGUGAAAAAAUUAGAGUGUUCAAAGCAGGCUUAUGCCGUUGAAUAUAUUAGCAUGGAAUAAUAAGAUAGGACUUUGGUACUAUUUUGUUGGUUUGCGCACCAAAGUAAUGAUUAAUAGGGACAGUUGGGGGUAUUCGUAUUCCGUUGUCAGAGGUGAAAUUCUUGGAUUUACGGAAGACGAACUACUGCGAAAGCAUUUACCAAGGAUGUUUUCAUUAA